UACGAAGGGGGCUAGCGUUGCUCGGAAUCACUGGGCGUAAAGCGCACGUAGGCGGCUUUCUAAGUCAGGGGUGAAAUCCUGGAGCUCAACUCCAGAACUGCCUUUGAUACUGGAGAGCUUGAGUCCGGGAGAGGUGAGUGGAACUCCGAGUGUAGAGGUGAAAUUCGUAGAUAUUCGGAAGAACACCAGUGGCGAAGGCGACUCACUGGACAUGUAUUGACGCUGAGGUGCGAAAGCGUGGGGAGCAAACAGGG
rnacentral:rRNA from 1 species